AUGUUGAUGUUUUACAGGAGGAAAGUUCGGAGGAGAGUGUCGCGAAAAGGAGAAUCAUGACUAGCUUUGGAUGGAAUUUCUGUUUUGACAGAAGAUGAAGACAUUUUACGACACGGUGCUGCGUUGCAUGCAGUGGACUGUGUCCGAGACGAUUCCUACAGCGCCGGCGAAUAGUCAGCUUGUAAAAUUGAAAUUGUGCCAGCAAAGUUUGAAGUGUUUAUGGAAAUGAUCAACAUUGAACUUUCCGAACCUUCCUACUUAAAGUGAAUCCGUUCGUGACAUGACCAGUUAUUUGGUUGCCCUCUAACAUAACGCCAUCUUUUAUUUAUUUAUUAUUGUGAAUUUCAUGGGAUAUCAGUGAGGAAGUGAUUCAAGCAGACACUUGAGAAAUUUCGGAUCUAACUUAAUUAGGAUC